GAUGAAGAACGUAGCGAAAUGCGAUAAGUAAUGUGAAUUGCAGAAUUCAGUGAAUCAUCGAAUCUUUGAACGCACAUUGCGCCCGCCAGUAUUCUGGCGGGCAUGCCUGUUCGAGCGUCAUUUCAACCAUCAAGCCCCCGGCUUGUGUUGGGGACCUGCGGCUGCCGCAGGCCCUGAAAAGCAGUGGCGGGCUCGCUGUCACACCGAGCGUAGUAGCAUACAUCUCGCUCUGGGCGUGCUGCGGGUUCCGGCCGUUAAACCACCUUCAUAACCCAAGGUUGACCUCGGAUCAGGUAGGAAGACCCGCUGAACUUAAGCAUAUAAAUAAGCGGAGA
rnacentral:misc_RNA from 1 species